rnacentral:rRNA from 1 species
GACGAACACUGGCGGCGUGCCUAAUACAUGCAAGUCGAGCGGAAGUUGAAGAGCUUGCUCUUCAACUUUAGCGGCGGACGGGUGAGUAACACGUGGGCAACCUGCCCUGCAGAUCGGGAUAACUCCGGGAAACCGGUGCUAAUACCGAAUAGUUUUCGCCACCUCCUGGUGGCGUACGGAAAGACGGUUUCGGCUGUCACUGCAGGAUGGGCCCGCGGCGGAUUAGCUUGUUGGUGGGGUAACGGCCCACCAAGGCAACGAUGCGUAGCCGACCUGAGAGGGUGAUCGGCCACACUGGGACUGAGACACGGGCCAGACUCCUACGGGAGGCAGCAGGAGGGAAUCUUCCGCAAUGGACGAAAGUCUGACGGAGCAACGCCGCGGGAGUGACGAAGGUUUUCGGAUCGUAAAACUCUGUUGUGAGGGAAGAACAAGUACCACUUAACUACUGGUACCUUGACGGUACCUCACCAGAAAGCCACGGCUAACUACGUGCCAGCAGCCGCAGUAAUAC